rnacentral:rRNA from 1 species
AGUGAACGCUGGCGGUAGGCCUAACACAUGCAAGUCGAACGGCAGCACAGUAAGAGCUUGCUCUUACGGGUGGCGAGUGGCGGACGGGUGAGGAAUACAUCGGAAUCUACUUUUUCGUGGGGGAUAACGUAGGGAAACUUACGCUAAUACCGCAUACGACCUACGGGUGAAAGCAGGGGAUCUUCGGACCUUGCGCGAUUGAAUGAGCCGAUGUCGGAUUAGCUAGUUGGCGGGGUAAAGGCCCACCAAGGCGACGAUCCGUAGCUGGUCUGAGAGGAUGAUCAGCCACACUGGAACGGGGACACGGUCCAGACCCCUAGGGGAGGCAGCAGUGGGGAAUAUUGGACAAGGGGCGCAAGCCUGAUCCAGCCAUACCGCGUGGGGGAAGAAGGCCUUCGGGUUGUAAAGCCCUUUUGUUGGGAAAGAAAAGCAGCAGGUUAAUACCCCGCUGUUCUGACGGUACCCAAAGAAUAAGCACCGGCUAACUUCGUG